AUAAAAUUACCCGAAAGUGUUGUCAUUGUUAAAUAAAUUACGGAUGUGCGUCUUUACGUCAAGGUCGUGAUUCUACAUAACAACAUCCGCUUGACCUCGCAAUGCCAAGAAGAAGAAAGGCGUGGAACAUUUGCUUAAGCCUGUCAAGAUCUUCAGAUGAUGUUUGAGAAAAAAGUCAUUAUCCUCUUCGUCACUCUUCAUCCGUAUUUGGGGUAACAAACACCUGCUUCCCACAAGAGACUGGACCGCUGAAGUCAGGUGACCUGCACCUUCCUUGAACAUGUUGGUAACUUACUCUGUAUUUGUUCACGGUGGUCACCCCAGGGUCUCAGGACUCAAAACGAGUGCUCUAUGGAUUGAACAGAAAAUAUAGUAUUAACAAGUGUUAAGUUAUGUCUUUAAAUGCCACUAAUAAUGUGUUUCUGACAUUUGGACUUUUGGGAGCAACUACCAAUGAGAGUGAAGCAGUGAAGUUCGUGUCAUCACUCUUUUGUCAUUUACUGAGAGGAUUGUUACUCAUUUGUUUGUAGUUUUUACUAGGACAACCAGAAUUGGGAACGCCUUCUGAUAAACUCAUUAAAAGAAAUGGCUGAGACACAGUGACUAGGUUGUUGGCGGUGUGAAUGCAGCAUAAGGCCUUAAACUGUCUGUGGCAAAUAUUUUUAGCACCCAAAAUAAAUAGGGGUGCUGCUUUUAAAGGAAAACACCACAGUUUUUCAAUAUUUUACUU